UACGAAGGGGGCUAGCGUUGCUCGGAAUCACUGGGCGUAAAGCGCACGUAGGCGGCUUUUUAAGUCAGGGGUGAAAUCCUAGAGCUCAACUCCAGAACUGCCUUUGAUACUGAGAAGCUUGAGUUCGGGAGAGGUGAGUGGAACUGCGAGUGUAGAGGUGAAAUUCGUAGAUAUUCGCAAGAACACCAGUGGCGAAGGCGGCUCACUGGCCCGGUACUGACGCUGAGGCACGAAAGCGUGGGGAGCAAACAGG
rnacentral:rRNA from 1 species